rnacentral:rRNA from 1 species
GAUGAACGCUGGCGGCGUGCCUAAUACAUGCAAGUCGAGCGAACAGACGAGGAGCUUGCUCCUCUGACGUUAGCGGCGGACGGGUGAGUAACACGUGGAUAACCUACCUAUAAGACUGGGAUAACUUCGUGAAACCGGAGCUAAUACCGGAUAAUAUAUUGAACCGCAUGGUUCAAUAGUGAAAGACGGCUUUGCUGUCACUUAUAGAUGGAUCCGCGCCGCAUUAGCUAGUUGGUAAGGUAACGGCUUACCAAGGCAACGAUGCGUAGCCGACCUGAGAGGGUGAUCGGCCACACUGGAACUGAGACACGGUCCAGACUCCUACGGGAGGCAGCAGUAGGGAAUAUUCCGCAAUGGGCGAAAGCCUGACGGAGCAACGCCGCGUGAGUGAUGAAGGUCUUCGGAUCGUAAAGCUCUGUUAUUAGGGAAGAACAAAUGUGUAAGUAACUAUGCACGUCUUGACGGUACCUAAUCAGAAAGCAACGGCUAACUACGUG